UCUCCAUUUGUUAUGUAUGAACUCUUUUAUUUUAAUGUUUUAAAUCUUCAUUCCUUUUUUUUUUUUUUCUUUCUUUCGUAUAUCAAGAGUAGCUACUAUGUGCCAGACACGCGGUGAAGCAGUUUCAUUGACUCCUCAUGAGGACCCUGGAAUGUAGGUACCACCGUAUGAAUGUCACAUUCCUUUAACAAAGGAGGAAACCGAGGUUCAUAGAGGAUCAUGACUGAAGAUCACACAGUUUCUACGCAUCAAGGCAAGAUCAAACAGGAGACAGUCUGGUUCCAGAGCUCACACUCUCAAACAAGUGAAUUAUUACCUAAAGCACCAACGAUAAGGGGAAUUUGUUGUUGUUACUGUUGUUGUUACCACUAUUAAAAUGUUGAAGAGAGGCAGAGAAACUCACUCUGGUAUUCAGCAACCCAAGCACGCUGCAACAUCACACAUUUGCCCUGAAUCCAUCUUUGGGAUUAUACAGUUAACAGUAUAAAACAUUAAGACUCACCUCUGGACCGUAAGACGUGCCGUGUUGCAUAAAAAGUAUUGCUGAUUCCCGGUCUACCCCAUCACCAAUACUCCUUCAGACUAAUAUCUCAGUCAAGCCUGCCUGAUGGAUAUGUGACACAGCCAAGAAGAGGAUCUGAGAAAGAAAACUGAAGGUACCCUCAGACAAAGGUAACUGCACCAUGGAGCAGGAAAAAACCGAACCUAAGUGUCAAGAUGAACUGGAGAAAUAACUCUGCAGGAGUCCAGCGAUACUGGAAGGAUGGUACGAGCAGAAAAAGUUGAGGAAGUUGACUUUUAACAGUUAUGAUCCCCAGACACAAACGAAACUUCUUUUAUUUGAAAAUCUAAGCUGUUUCAACCCACACAUUUUUAUUAAAGGUAUUUAUGAGUACUCUUCCAAUCCCUCACACAUAAACCACACACCACCCGAGCCAGGCCACUGCACAGUCAAGCUUUGUGACUCGUGUGAAGCAAGAUUUACCUGCAUUCCAAGAGUGAAAGGGAAAUAAAUUGGGUUAUUUCAUUA